AGAUAUACAGCCCCACGCCCACGUCUUCUCCACGCGCCGUUCGUAGUCGUACGCCACAGUCCACUCUCAUCUCUCGCAUCAGUCAUCACCUCCUCCUCUCGCUCCUCACCUUUUACGCCGUCGCCGCUCCUCCUCUUCUUCCUUGCGGCUCCGAUCCCCUCCCCUCCCCUUCCCUCCUUCACAAGCUGAGUGGCGGAUGAUCCCCUCGACGAUGGAUGCGGGGGUGGGUCAACCUAGGCUCGGUUUCGAGGCCUCCCAUGGACGUACCCACACCACCUGCGACCCUCCCCUCGUGUGGGGCAGCUGCUGUUUCUGGAGCUUUUCUUGGACAGGAAACGAGCGCCAUCCAGAUCUACAACCAUCGGGCAACUGUGUUCCGGCGGGUGGCGAUGCAGCUUCACCUCUCAUCCUUCCCUCUCAAUCAACCAACGACCAAAGAUGGACAUGGAUCAACAAAGAUGUUACACUCUCCAAGAGCCACUCCCCGCUGUAGUCGUCGAGGCCUCCUCCGUCGCGGGAGGCCGUGGAUGAGAUGAAGGAGGCAUCUUCUUCUGCUGAAGGACCAUCGCCCUCCUGGCCUCCUCGUAAAGUGCAUACCUCUAAUGCUCUUCCCUUAGUUGUGAGAGUAGCUUGUAGAGUGGUCAAAGAGACCAAAAGUUUUCCACUGCUAUUAUUUGGCUCUUCUUUCAAGGGGAGCGAUACAACCUGAAGCUUUCAUGUUAUUCCCCUUGCUUUUACUCUAGAUUGUACUUCAAAUGGUUCCCAUGGAGGUGAGGGUGCACAUGUUAAUUAUUUGCUGAGUAACUCUGGUUUUCCAAUUGAAUUGGGUCGCAUGAAGAAUUUGCGCACAUUGGAUCAAUUUGAUUUCUAAACAUUGGACAACAUGUUGACAAAUGCUUUCCGUGGCUGGAACCAUCAGCACAAAACUCAAAUCAGGUAUCUUAUCCUAAUAGUUUGGCUAUUGUCAGCAAAUGAAAUUCAGUGAAUUAAGCCAACAAAAUGGAGUUUCAACAGGGUAAUUUAACUAUAGCAUUGAUUACCGAUGAAAAUUCAAUGGUGCUGUUUUUAGUACGCCAAGCGAUGCAUAGCUGAAUUAUCGUUGCCAUUUUCCCAUCUCUCUUAGACAUGCAUUCAGCUUCUCAGUUUGUUUCUGCUCCUUACCAUGGAAUAUUUUGUGCCAUUUUCCUAUGGGAAGCAUGAUUUAUGUGGCAUCUUAUCGAUACCAUUUUCCUAUCUCUUAAGACAUUAUUCAUGCUUCCUCGCUAAUCUGUUUCUUUUCUAUAGUUAAUUAAUUCUGAAUAGGGUUAGUUAAAACUUAAACCUGCUAGAGCUUCAACUAUGUCAUUGAUCCCGUUUUACAUAUAUCAUAAAUAUUACUAUUGAGUUUGAUGGUUACUAAAUGAUGGGUUACAUAUCUACACCAAAGCUAUGGGUUUGUAAGAUUCGGGAGCUAUCGACGAAGAUGCAGAUAAUGCAAGAGAAUGGCACUUCAGUUUCUUUAUGAUGUCCAGCGAUACCAGUCAGCCCCAACUAAAAAGCUCAUUCAUAGCUAAUCUACGAGUGCUGCUUCUGCUAUGACGCCCAUGAGUGGGAUGUGGGCUGCGUUGAGGACUACUACGAUGGCUGGCGCGUGGCGAGCCAUCGGUGGCGCGGAUGAGAAACUGCUCGAGCAAGUGAUGGUGAAGGUGAGCGUCGCUUGGGGAGGGCAACAAGGGCAAUGCGGAGAAGGCCGGUGAAUUCGUCGUGAAGUUCUGCACGUAGAUGAACUACAUCGGCAAGUCUCGGAGAUGCAAUACGUAGCAUGAUGGAGAGGAUCAUCUUUAUUCGAUUCACUCUUGGAAUACUUGUUUAUUUCCUCAAUUUGAUUCACUCUUGGAUUGUUUGUGUUAAAUUGCUUGGUUAUUUUUGCUGAAUUUGAUUCACUCUUGAAUUCGUUCAUGUAUAUGUCAGAUGUACAUGCGCGUAUGUUGCGUGUC